rnacentral:rRNA from 1 species
CCUACGGGUGGCAGCAGUGAGGAAUAUUGGUCAAUGGGCGAGAGCCUGAACCAGCCAAGUCGCGUGAGGGAGUACUGCCCUAUGGGUUGUAAACCUCUUUUGUCGGGGAGCACAAGCCGGACGUGUCCGGCUGUGAGAGUACCCGAAGAAAAAGCAUCGGCUAACUCCGUGCCAGCAGCCGCGGUAGUACGGAGGAUGCGAGCGUUAUCCGGAUUUAUUGGGUUUAAAGGGUGCGCAGGCGGAUAUUUAAGGCAGCGGUAAAAUCGUGGGGCUCAACCCCAUCCAGCCGGUGAAACUGGGGAUCUAGAGUGGGCGAGAGGUAUGCGGAAUGCGUGGUGUAGCGGUGAAAUGCAUAGAUAUCACGCAGAACCCCGAUUGCGAAGGCAGCAUACCGGUGCACAACUGACGCUCAGGCACGAAAGCGUGGGUAUCGAACAGGAUUAGAUACCCUUGUAGUC